UGACUAACCUUGGGUAAGUUGGUAGA
rnacentral:piRNA from 1 species